rnacentral:rRNA from 1 species
CCUACGGGAGGCAGCAGUAGGGAAUAUUGGGCAAUGGGGGAAAGCCUGAAGCAGCAACGCCGCGUGGAGGAUGAAGGUUUUCGGAUUGUAAACCUCUGUUGUUAGAGAAGAAAAUGACGGUAUGUAACGAAUAAUCACCGGCUAACACCGUGCCAGCACCCCCAGUAAUACGUCGGGGGCAAGCGUUAUUCGGAUUUACUGGGCGUAAAGGGGGCGUAGGCGGGUUAUCAAGUCAGAUGUGAAAGCCUAUGGCUUAACCGUAGAACUGCAUUUGAAACUGUUAGUCUAGAGUAUAGGAGAGGUAGGUGGAAUUCUUGGUGUAGCGGUGAAAUGCGUAGAUAUCAGGAGGAAUACUGAUUGCGAAGGCGGCUCUCUGGCCCAUAACUGACGCUGAGGCGCGAAAGCGUGGGUAGCAAACAGGAUUAGAUACCCUGGUAGUC